CAUCCAGCAGAGCUUUACUGCUACUGAAGGCAAAUGAGCAUAAUGGUCACAAAUCCAAUACACUCAGGAUUGGCACUGUCCAUAAGAAAUCCAGUCGCAGCAGACUUAACAUAAACUUACAAUAACUUAUAAUAAGACAUACAUAACACUACAUACAGAACACCACACCAGAAGAUAAAGAUAGAAAGAGAAAGGUGAAACCCAGUUUCCUUCUGGCCUUAUUAUUAUAGUCAGCGUGACCUUGACUGAAGAGAUAACAGAACCAGUUUAAGCCACCUGUAUUCCGCUUCUCUGAAGGAAUAACCCAAACAUCAUGAACCUUCUGCUUGUUUCACACAGAGAAGCUUCCAGAACCCUCUCGAAUGAAUCAGAAUAGGAAAGAUCUCUACACAUCAGAUCAAUCUUUUCUGUACCAAGAAAUGCAAUCUGACAGGGGAACGGGGUGAGCUGGGACAGCAGUCCCUAGUCUUUGUAAAUAAGCACAAGUAUUUCAAAAUAUCCAUAAACCUCCAAUGAACUGUUGAAUGGUUUCUUUAAAUGUAAAGGUUCAUCAUUGUUCCACUCGAUGUGUAUGUCUUUAAGGGGCCAGAGCAAGGGCCAGAGCAAAAUAACGAGACCCAGUUUUACAGCUGUGAAACAUAGCAGGUGCUGCUGAGUUGUAUUGAUUAAGCUGUGUCAGCAUUUGGGUGUAGUAUAUAAGGAGCAGCACCUAGCUCUCCCAUUACCCUGGGGGAUGGGUUGGGUCUGGUUUGUUGUUGAUGUAUUUAGUGUAUAAGGAGUUUUUGUUUUUGUUAUUAAAACCUUCUUUAAGUUAUUUUUGAGUCCCUUUUUAAUGCAUGGUCUCCCCAGCAAGCUCUCUGCAGCGCUACCAAACUGCAAAAAGCCAACAUGAACUUCUUCCAAAGGGAGCCAAACUUGUGGAAGCGCUACAGUCCUGGAACUUCUUGUCUUUUGGAGAAAUAGGGUGAGAAUGGCAACAGUUCCAGACGCUCAACCAUUUCACUGAAACAGGUUCCUUCCCUCUAGUGACCACAGGCUCAGCUUGAACCACAACAUUUUCAGCAAUCGUAUUUCUGUUUUAAUGCAGCGGAGAUCUGUGGUUAUGACUCUUAAGGCAAGUCAGGCUGGAGGGAAGUGGUCAGGAGUGAUUGUGCAGCUUCUAUCCUGCGGUCGCUCAUUGCAAACAAUGCUGGGUUUCUGCAAAGAGGUUUUUGCCUCACUUCCCCAGGGACUGCAUCGCCGUGCGUACUUGUCGUUGCCGUCAUAAGACAAACAGUAAUAAUCAGCCUCGUCUUCUGGUUGCAGCUUGGAGAUGGUUAAGGUGGCCGUGUUGGAAGGUUUGUUGACA